UACGGAGGCAGCAGGGGGAAUAUUGGACAAUGGGUGAGAGCCUGAUCCAGCCAUCCCGCGUGAAGGACGACGGCCCUAUGGGUUGUAAACUUCUUUUGUAUAGGGAUAAACCUACCCUCGUGAGGGUAGCUGAAGGUACUAUACGAAUAAGCACCGGCUAACUCCGUGCCAGCAGCCGCGGUAAUACGGAGGGUGCAAGCGUUAUCCGGAUUUAUUGGGUUUAAAGGGUCCGUAGGCGGAUGUGUAAGUCAGUGGUGAAAUCUCACAGCUUAACUGUGAAACUGCCAUUGAUACUGCAUGUCUUGAGUGUUGUUGAAGUAGCUGGAAUAAGUAGUGUAGCGGUGAAAUGCAUAGAUAUUACUUAGAACACCAAUUGCGAAGGCAGGUUACUAAGCAACAACUGACGCUGAUGGACGAAAGCGUGGGGAGCGGACAGGAUUAGAUACCCUGGUAGUCCACGCCGUAAACGAUGCUAACUCGUUUUUGGGUUUUCGGAUUCAGAGACUAAGCGAAAGUGAUAAGUUAGCCACCUGGGGAGUACGAACGCAAGUUUGAAACUCAAAUGAAUUGACGG
rnacentral:rRNA from 1 species